rnacentral:rRNA from 2 species
GGGGGUAGACGCGAAACCAAGUGAUCUACACUUGACCAGGUUGAAGUUCCGGUAACACGGAAUGGAGGACCGCACCGAUAAGCGUUGAAAAGCUUCCGGAUGAGUUGAGUGUAGGAGUGAAAGGCCAAUCAAACUUGGAGAUAGCUCGUACUCCCCGAAAGGCAUUUAGGUGCCGCGUGUGGCGAUCUCCGUGAGAGGUAGAGCGACCGAUAGGUCAAGAGGGCUUCACCGCCUAUCGAGACCUGACGAACUCCGAAUGCUCACGGACCGCAGCCAUGCAGUAAGGGGGCGGGUGCUAAGGUCCGUCCCCGAGAGGAGAAGAAUCCAGACCGCCGUCUAAGGCCCCGAAAUUCUGUCUGAGUUAGUCUAACGAAGUCCGGUCCCCAUGACAGCUAGGAUGUUGGCUUGGAAGCAGCCAUUCAUUCAAAGAGUGCGUAACAGCUCACUAGUCGAGGGUCCGGGCAUGGAUAAUAAUCGGGUAUAAGUCAGAUGCCGAAGGCGCGGGAUAGCAAUGUAUAUUGAAAGUAUCGGUAGGGGAGCAUACCAUGUGCGCAGAAUGGUGAAGAUGACUGAUCCUGGAGCGCAUGGUAAAGCAAAUGUAGGUAUAAGUAACGACAAGAGGGGUAAGAUUCCCCUCCGCCGUAAGUCUAAGGUUUCCCGGGCAAUGCCAAUCAUCCCGGGGUAAGUCGGGUCCUAAGUCUCAGCCGAAUGGCGA